UACGAAGGGGGCUAGCGUUGCUCGGAAUGACUGGGCGUAAAGGGCGCGUAGGCGGAUGGCAUAGUCAGAUGUGAAAUUCCCGGGCUUAACCUGGGGGCUGCAUUUGAUACGUGUUGUCUUGAGUUCGGAAGAGGGUCGUGGAAUUCCCAGUGUAGAGGUGAAAUUCGUAGAUAUUGGGAAGAACACCGGUGGCGAAGGCGGCGACCUGGUCCGACACUGACGCUGAGGCGCGAAAGCGUGGGGAGCAAACAGG
rnacentral:rRNA from 1 species